rnacentral:rRNA from 1 species
CUACGGGGUGCUGCAGUGAGGAAUAUUGCACAAUGGAGGAAACUCUGAUGCAGCAACGCCGCGUGGAGGAUGACGCAUUUCGGUGUGUAAACUCCUUUUAUAUGUCAAGAAAAUGACGGUAGCAUAUGAAUAAGCACCGGCUAACUCCGUGCCAGCAGCCGCGGUAAUACGGAGGGUGCAAGCGUUACUCGGAAUCACUGGGCGUAAAGGACGUGUAGGCGGGAUAUCAAGUCAGGUGUGAAAUCCUACAGCUUAACUGUAGAACUGCACUUGAAACUGGUAACCUAGAGUAUGGGAGGGGGAGAUGGAAUUAGUGGUGUAGGGGUAAAAUCCGUAGAUAUCACUAGGAAUACCUAAAGCGAAGGCGAUCUCCUGGAACAUUACUGAUGCUAAGGCGUGAAAGCGUGGGGAGCAAACAGGAUUAGAUACCCGGGUAGUC